AAAAGACGAACAGCUCAGUAACUCUUAUUUUAUUUGAUGUAUUAGGAUUAUAACUAUGUUAAAUUAUAGAUAACAAUAAUACAAUAAGAAUAAGAUCUAUCAGUUAGUUGUUAAGGUAAUGGCUUAACAAGACUAUGACGGAUAACGGUAUUACUUUGUAAUAUUCCGGAGAAGGAGCCUGAGAGAUUGCUACUAAGUCUAAGGAUUGCAGCAGGGGCGAAACUUGACCUAUGAUAUGAUAUUGAGGCAGUUAUGAGUAGUAUUUUUAAUUAUUGUAGUAUUGUAAGUAUAUACUACAAGAUAAAUCGGAGGGCAAAUCGAGUGCCAGCAGCCGCGGUAAUACUUGUUCCGAUAGUGUGUAUGAUGAUUGAUGCAGUUAAAAAGUCUGUAGUUUAUUAUUAAUAAGCAUUGUGAGGUAUAUUGUAUGGUUAGGAGAGAGAUGAAAUGUGAUAACCCUAACUGGAUGAACAGAAGCGAAAGCUAUAUACUUAAAUGUUUUAUUAGAACAAGGACGUAAGCUAGAGGAUCGAAGAUGAUUAGAUACCAUUGUAGUUCUAGCAGUAAACUAUGUUAAAUCAUAGAUACAUUAUUAAUAUGUAUUUAUGUAAAGAAAUUAAGAUUAUAUUGACUCUGGGGAUAGUAUGAUCGCAAGAUUGAAAAUUAAAGAAAUUGACGGAAGAAUACCACAAGGAGUGGAUUGUGCGGCUU
rnacentral:rRNA from 1 species